UGGGAAAAACAGUUUAUGUUUUAAGCUUCGUGUGACCUCUGGAGCUUCUGGGCAUUGGAAGGUGACCUGGAGACCUUCAGCUUCUGCUUCCUGUCUCGAGCCGCACAUGAGCAGCAAGAAUGUGUUGCAGGGACUGGAUGAAAUUCACCCUGAGCUCCAAAUCCCUAAUGCUGCCUUAGCUGGGAUUAUGAGAGAAGCCACCGUGGUAUCACCUGAAAUCCACCUCCCGGUGCCUC
rnacentral:lncRNA from 1 species